CAGGUUUUCUGGAUAGAGGCCUCAGCUUGGAACUUCAGAGGUUGAAAGUACAGCUCAAAUGCCUGAGAUGGAGGAUUCUUCCUUCCCUCAAAAUGGAGCCCAAAGGAGAGAGGCUGGCUACCAUGCAUCUAACUGCAGGACACCAGGUCCCACAUGCUGCAAACUACUGAGCCCAUGUGCUCUGGAACCCGCGUGCCACAACUAAAGAAGAGAAAACCCGUACACCACAACUAGGGAGAAGCCCACGCACUGCAACGAAAGAUCCCGCAUGCCUCAGCGAAGAUCCCGCAUGCCACAAGAAAGACUCAUGGACAGAGAGUGAUUUUCAAGACUUAUUUCACAAAAAUAGAUUCUACAGGAUGUAAGCAUGUACUCUUUGAAGUCUAUCUUCUCCCCUUUGAACAUACCAGUGAGCAAGUAGAAGAUUGGGAAAGACAAAGAUACUAAAUCUCCAAGCCUGUUUCUUAUUACUUUGCACUUGGUUUACAGAGCACCAUGUCAUUUUAAGAGAUUAGGCCUUAGGUAGAAAGGUAAGAUGAUAAAUCAGAUUUCCCCUGAAAUACCCACAACAUAGAAGGAUAAAACCAGAAAUCACCUAAACAUGAUGGAACUGGGAGACUUGGUUUACUCCUUCUGUUCCUUCUCAGAACUGCUCUGCUUCCUCCUUAAAUUUUAUUUCUAUUUAGUUUUAGUUGACUGUUAAUCAGUGUAAGUUCAAAUACAACUUAAAAUAUACUCUAGAUUGUAUGGCACUGCAACAAUUACAAUACAGCCAAACAUUAACAACAGAAAUAGCUUCAAUAUAUUGUACAAAAAUUAUUUCUCUAAAUCUUUAGGUCAAUAUUCAGUGAUAAUAAAUGGAAAAUACAAGUUAAACUUCAAUUAACUUCAAUUUAAGCUAUGCAUUGAUGGGUUAAUGACAUUGUGGUUAUUUUGGUACAGUUCUAACAACUGGUGUUUUGGGCGGUUUGAGUAUGUAUAAGUCAAUAAUGCUAGUUUUCAUUUGCAAAAUCAGUUAACAAAUCCAAGAGACAUAACUUCAAAUAAAGUACUAUAUAAAAUUUUCAUAUAGAAUCUAUGAUUCAAAUGUAUUUUUAAUUUAAAAAAUUCUGAUUUCAUAUAUUUAAUGGGAAAUUGUUAAAAUGUUAUAUACAGGGAUACUGACUGCAAAAGGGGCACUAGGAAACUUUCUGUAGAGAGAGAUGGGGGUGGUGGUUACUCAAGUGUAUACAUUUGUCAAGUCAUUUACUUGUAUACUUAAAAAUUAUACGUCAACAAAUAUUUGAAAAUUUUUUAUUUUAAUAGCUCAUUCAAUAAUUUCUGUUGUUUCUCUUUCAGGUAAUAUAUUUUUUCUUUAAGAUCUGUAACAUUCUUUAAAAGUUUGUAAAACUGGGUCUUUAUUUAAAUUUGAAAAUCUACAGGAUCUAGAUUCAAGUUCUCUAAUUCUCUUGAUAUUGUCUUUUGCAGAGCAGAUGUUUUUAAUUUUAAUUUUAAUGAAGUCCAGCUUAAUAAUUAUUUCUUUCGUGGAUCAUUUUGUAUCUAAAAAGGCAUCAUCGUACCCAAUGUUAUCUAGGUUUUCUCCGAUGUUACCUCGUAAGAGUUUUAUAGUUUUGUAUUUCACAUUUGUGUCUAUGAUCCAUUCUGAGUUUUUGUGAAGGAUGUAAAGUCUGUGUCUAGGUUAAUUUUUUUUUCAUGUGGCUAUCCAGUUGUUCCAGUGCUAUUUGUUGAGAAUUCAUCUCUGCUCCAUUGUGUUGCAUUUGCUCCUUUGUCAAAGAUCUGUUGACUAUAUUUAUGUGGGGUCUAUUUCUGGGCUCUUUAUUCUGUUCCAUCGAUCUAUUUGUCUAUUCUUUUACCAAUUAUUUUACCAUGCUGUCUUGAUUAUUGUAGUUCUAUAGUAAGUCUUGAAGUUGGAUAUUGUCAAUCCUCCAACUUAGUUCUUCACUUUCAAUAUUGUGUUGGCUAUUCUGGGUCUUGUCCCUUUCCAUAUAAGCUUUAGAAUCAGUUUGUUUAUAUUCAUAAUAUAAGUUGGGAUUUUGAUUAGGAUUGCACUGACUCUAUAAAUCAAGUUGAAAAGAACUGACAUCUUGACAAUACUGAGUCUUCUUAUCCAUGAGUAUGGUAUAUCUCUCCAUUUAUUUAUUUCUUUGACUUCAUUCACCAAAAUUUUGUAGUUUUGUAGUUUUCCUCAUAUAGGUCUUAUGUAUAUUUUGUUAGAUUUAUACCUAAGUAUUUUAUUCUUUUCAAUGCUAAUUGGUAUUGUGUUUUUAAUUUCAAACUCCACUUGCUCAUUGUUUGUAUAUAGGAAAGCAAUUGGCUUUUGUGUAUGAACUUUGUAUCUUGCAAUCCUGCUAUAAUCUCUUAUGAGUUCUAAGGGUUUUUGUUUAUUCUUUUGGAUUUUUCACAAAGAUGAUCAUGUUAUCUGUGAAUGAAGGCAGUUUUAUUUCUUCUUUUCCAGUCUGUAUACCAUUAUUUCCUUUUCUUGUCUUAUCACAUUAACAAAGACUUCUAGUACAUUUUUGAAAAAGAGAGGUGAGAGUGGACAUGCUGGCCUUGUAACUCAUCAUAGUGGAAAAGCUUCAAGCCUCUCACUAUUAAGUAUGAUGUUAGCUGAAGAUUUAAAAAAAAUAGUCUUAGCAAGUUGAGAAAGUUCCCCUCCAUUCCUAGUUUACUGAGAGUUUUUAUCAUGAAUGUUGUUGGAUUCUUUUCAAGUGCUUUUUCUGCAUCUAUUGAUGUGAUCAUAUAAUUUCUCUUUUUUAGUCUGUUGAUGUAAUGGAUGACAUUAAUUGAAACUAGCCUCACAUACCUACUUUCUAAGCAUUCUAAGUGCUUUACAUAGUAACGUAUUUACAUAUUUGUUACAUAUUAAUUUAUCUAAUCCUUGUGAGAAGCCUGAGUUGUAGGACUUGUUAUUGUCCCUAAAAUACGUGCUUCUUAUUUAGUUGUGUUUUGAUUUUUGGAUGAAAGUAAUAAAGAAGUUUCAAAUAAAAGAUUGGACAGAUAUAAAUAAAAAGGAAGUUAAGCUGCAAGUUAAUUUCAAAAUAGACUUUAGGUGGAGGGAGGGCGGGUUCCCUGGUGGCCUAGUGGUUAGGAUUCUCGGCUUUCAUUGCCAUUCCCCAAGUUCAAUCCCUGGUCAGGGAACUGAGAUCCUGCAAGCUGCCCAGUGCAGGGGAAAAAAACAAUUGUAUAUCUAUAAUAUAUAAAAUUAUUAAAAAUGUAAGAUAUAUUGACAAGCAUGCAAUGAUCAUAUGCCUUUCAUACUACUGGACAAAAUCAAACAAGCAAAAAAUAAAGAUGAGGAAUGUCUGGAUAAUUCAUUAAAGUUGAUUUUGUACCUCUACAAAUGGAAAAUACAUUUUCUACUGUAAAGUCCAAUAAGAAUUAUGAAGUUAAUCAUGUAUAUUAGGCAACCAAGAAAACCUUAAUAAAGUUGCAGAUUUUCAAGUUCAGUUAUCUGAAUCUCAUCCUCAUUUUAGUCUUAGCCUCUUUAUUUAUGUACUUCCAUCUACUGUGAAUCCUUUUAUACCAAUCCUCAUGGCAGGUAUUUACAGAGUUCCACAGGAUAAUACAUAAAAGAACAUUGUUUAUGCUAAUAGUUAUAUAUUUAGUUGAAUUAUUUGUAAUAUUCAUGAUCUUGAUAUAAAAUUUCUUUUAAAAUGCAAGUAAUUUUUGAAGCAAGUCAAUUAAUAUUAAAAGUGGUUGUUAAUGUUACUCUUUUAAUGAUCACACAAUCACUUCUUGACUAUAAUUUCUGUUUAUCUUUCACCACUGUGUUGCAAAUAUGCUUAUGAAGGGCAUUUCUCCUUUUCUUUCAGAAAGAAUCUGAUUAUCUUUUCCUAGCCCUCUUUUAUCUUCUCAGAUAAAAUUGAUUGAGUUCACUGUCCUUUAUGAAACCAUCUUUUCAUGCUGUGCAUGACAGUGUAAAGCUCUGACUUACCUAAAUUUCCAGCUACUCCAUGGAUUCCUUCAUGGUUUCUGAAGGAAACUGAAGGAACUGAACUGUAAACUGAAAUUUGUUUCAGUUUACAGGUUGAAUAUCCCUCUUAGCAUUUAUGCUUGUAAUUAUUUUAGAAGGAGAUACUCACUAUCAAACAUUAUUCUUCCAAGUAUUAGGAUGGUGGCUUUAUCUCAACUUUUGCUUUAAGUAGUUUCUAGGGCUUAGUUUAAUAAAAAAGUGGACAGACUAAUUUUUUAAAACUGCUAUCAUUGUGGCAUUCUCAUAAAAAAAACCACCAAACGUUCCUCAUGCAUAUUCUAUAUGUCAGAUACUGUGUUAGGAAUUGACGAUUCAAAGGUUAAAGACUUUAGUUUAUGAUCUCCAGAAGCUCAAAGUCUAGUAAAAAAGACUGAUGAGUUCUGUGAUGGAGAAUAUGCUGACACAACAUGGGGACCAGUCGUGAAGGAGGUGGACUCUCUCACCCAGCUGACUGGGUUGGGUCCUGGCUCUGCCACUAACUAACUCUGUAGCCUUGAGCAAAUGUCUAAUCUCUCUAAACCAGCACUGAUCAAUAGAAAUAUAAUACAAGCCACAUAUAUAAUUUAAAAUUUUCUAGUAGUUUUUUUGGUUUUGGUUUUGUUUUUGAUGCACCUCACGGCAUAUGAGAUCUUAGUUUUCUGACCAGGGAUUGAACCUGCACCCCCUGCAUUGGAAGCACAGAGUCUUAACCACUGGACAACCAGGGAAGUCCCUCUAGUAGUAUGUUUUAAAAAGUAAUGAGAAACAGGUAAAAUUAAUUUUAAUAAGUUUUAUGCCCCAUUUAAUCAUUCAUAAAAUGGGGAUAAAAAUAGUUUCUAUCUCAUGGAGUUCUAAUGAGGAAUAAGUGAUUAAAUACAUGUAUUUAGAACAGUGAUGGUUUUAAGCAUGAUAAGCUCUCAUUAAAUGUUAGCUAUUAUUAUUUUUAAGAAUAAUAGUUUUAUUAUUAUAGAGGCUAUGAGAAUAUAGAUAAGGAGCCUAGAAUAUAGAUAAGGUAAUGUUAGAAUUGAAUCCUGAAGAAUGAACAGGAUUAGCAAUUAGCUUAGCAAAGAGUAGGUGGUGGGAGGAAAGUUCUAGAUUAAAAGAUCAGUAUGUGCAGGGAGACAUAAAUGUGAUGAACACUAGGAAGUAAAAACAGUAUGGUUAGAAUAUAAGACAUGUGGGAGUAACAAAUGAUGAUGCUGGAUUGGUAGGUGGGUCAAAUCAUUAAGGACCCUUAUCUCAAAGGUAUGAAAGAAAUUUAAGUGUUUGUUCAGAAUUUUUUGUAUUUGAAAGGUCACAGUAUCAGUGGUAUUAAGGAUUAGAAAGGGUCCAGAUGAGAGGGCUUCACCUGAUAUCAUACAAGUAGUCUGUAGAAAGCUGGGAUUAAAACUAAGGAUUUUCUGAGUCUUUAGCCUUUAUCAUUUCUAUUACACAAGGCUGCUUCCUAGGGCAGUAGAGAUAAAGAGCUUGGAAUCUGGAGUUGUGGCUUAUGUGUAACUUGGAGCAAGUGACUCAUUACUCUGAACCUCCGUUAAAAUAGAGAUUCUAGAUAUGGGGAGGGGGAAGGGUAAGCUGUGACUAAGUGAGAGAGUGGCGUGGACAUAUAUACACUACGAAACGUAGGGU